rnacentral:rRNA from 1 species
GACGAACGCUGGCGGCGUGCUUAACACAUGCAAGUCGAACGGAAAGGCCCUGCUUUUGUGGGGUGCUCGAGUGGCGAACGGGUGAGUAACACGUGAGUAACCUGCCCUUGACUUUGGGAUAACUUCAGGAAACUGGGGCUAAUACCGGAUAGGAGCUCCUGCUGCAUGGUGGGGGUUGGAAAGUUUCGGCGGUUGGGGAUGGACUCGCGGCUUAUCAGCUUGUUGGUGGGGUAGUGGCUUACCAAGGCUUUGACGGGUAGCCGGCCUGAGAGGGUGACCGGCCAAGGGGGGGCGGGGUGGGGGAGCGUGCGACUGGGGGGGGCGGCGGGGGAGAGAGAGGCGGAGGGGGCGGGGGCAGGAGGCGGCGGCGCGGGGUGGGGGAGGACGGCGUGGGGGUCGGACACGGGGCUGACCGGUGAGGAAGCGGGGGGGAUGGUGAGGGGAAAAGAACCCCCGGCAAAAGACGUGCCAGCGGCACGAUAAAAGUAAGAAGAGCACGCGUCUACGC